CAUGGCGGUAUGUUGGUUGUUUCUGUUGCUGAUAUUGGUAUUGCUUUUAUUAUUGUUGUUGUUGUUUUGGUUAUUAAGCUCGCUUAUAAAGCCUUCCCUUGUCCAUAGUGACCGCUGCUGCUUUUCGCUGUCCCCGACCAUAGUGCUGAAGUAGUUCCCUGCUCCUUGGCUUUCCCUGGCCAUGGUGCUGACAGUAAUAUCAACUUCUAUCUCUUCAUAGAAGCUCUGGCCCUUGGUGUCUGUGUGGUGGUGUGGGGGAUGGAUGUGAGAUGGCACUUGAUUAGACUCUAGAAUCCUUAGGGUUCCUGGGAUUUCUCACUAGCUAAAAGACCCUGGGAUUGGGGAGGGAUCUUGUUUUCUUCUGCUGCUUUGCUCGGUUGUCUUCUCUUCCAGCCACUAAGGACCCAACCUGGACAGUUCACAAGCCCAUCCAGGGUCUGGAGCCUCAGAAAUGCCUGUCUUGAUUCUUUCUUGCUGUCAGCCAGUUGAUUGGACACCUCCAGAGCAGCUGUGCACACAAAUGUCUACCUGUUCCGGACUCCAGUGGCUGCUACAUCCUGACUCUUCCCCCCCGAGAAGUGACCGGCCUUGUCCAGAGUUCCAUCUCCAAGUCCCAGAUGGAAGAUACUGAGCCUGGCCCGACGGACUCUUCUUCUCAGGACCUCCCCACCACCCUGUCCUUUUCCCACCCAGCAGAGUUUUUAUAUCUCAUUCAUUUCCAAGACUCUCCUCUCACUCCCUUCCUUUCCACUGAGUCAGCUGCUCUAAUAGACAAAAAGGGAAAGUUUUCACUUUUAUCUUCACAAUUCAGAGGUAAGUACUCCAUGCAUCACUGUUCCCAUUUAACAGAUGAGGAAACUGAGGUGAAAUGGUCACCCAGC
rnacentral:lncRNA from 1 species